GGUUGGAUCAUUAACAAAAGAUAAGGGUCAGACCUUAAAACGUCUGGCACUUAUAAACACCUGUGCACUUGUAAUGUUGAGGUGAGGUAAAAUUGGGGACCCAGUAGGGUCUUUGGGGCACUGAAGGUUAAUUAGCCUAGCUAAUGCGUUCAUGCCUCACCUUGCCUCUGCAUCAACAUUUAACAUGUAUAUCUUGAGCUAGUUUAUUUAUUAUAUUAAUAUCUAACAACUUUUGACAACGGAUCUCUAGGCUCUCGCAACGAUGAAGAACGCAGCGAAAUGCGAUAAGUAAUGUGAAUUGCAAAAUUCCGUGAAUCAUUAAAUCUUUGAACGCACCUUGCGCUUUUGGGUCAUACCAUAAAGCAUGUCUGUUUGAGAAUCAGUUCAAACUCAUGUCCUUUGUUAGGUAACUUACAAAGGGUAUGGCACUGGAAUUUUUACUGCAAAGUAAAUCUUCUUAAUUACAAGUUGCCUGGUAUUCUUACUAACAAUGUACCGGAAAGCAUGACCAAUGGACACUCGGCCUCACAGCCAUGUUCUUGAUUGCUGAUAAAGGUCUUUGCUCAAGUACUAGUACAUUAUGGCAAGAACAAACAAAUCACUAGGAUCAGCAAUGAUCUUUAAGACUUGAUCUCAAAUCAGACAAGACUACCCGUUGAACUUAAGCAUAUCAAUAAGCGGAGGAAAAGAAACUAACAAGGAUUCCCCUAGUAACGGCGAGUGAAGCGGGAUCAGCUCAAAUUUGAAAUCUCACUCUGUAGUGCGAAUUGUAGUUUAAAGAAGUUUUUUCGGAGGUACCGCAAGUCCAAGUCCUUUGGAACGAGGCAUCAUAGAGGGUGAGAAUCCCGUCUUUGAUUUGCACGGUACUUCUAUGUGAUAAACUUUCAAAGAGUCGGGUUGUUUGGGAAUGCAGCCCAAAAUGGGUGGUAUAUAUCAUCUAAAGCUAAAUAUUGGCGAGAGACCGAUAGCGAACAAGUACCGUGAGGGAAAGAUGAAAAGAACUUUGAAAAGAGAGUUAAAUAGUACGUGAAAUUGUCAAAAGGGAAACGUUUGAAACCAGUUUUGUCUGCAAGAUCUCAACUCGUCUAACGGCGGGCCCAUGUUCUUGUAGGCAGGUCAACAUCGAUUUAACUCGGAGUAUAAAGCUUGGAGAAGGUAGCGUAUUUCGAUACGUGUUAUAGCUUCAAGUAAUGCUUUGAGCUGGACCGAGGAACGCAGUGUAGCAUACGGAGCUGUGCACAAGUUGAUGUCGACAUGCAAACUACUUGUAGAUUGUAGGUUGAAUAAGACUUUUUGUGUGGUGACAGUUGCACUUAGGAUGUUGACAUAAUGGUUUCAAGCGACCGUCUUGAAACACGGACCAAGGAGUCUAACACAUAUGCGAGUAUUUGGGUGUUAAACCCGGAAUGCGCAAUGAAAGUAAUAAGGUGGGAAUUUUAUGCACCAUCGACCGGUCUGGAUUUUAAUGAUAGAUCUGAGUAAGAGCAUAUUUGUUAGGACCCGAAAGAUGGUGAACUAUGCCUGAAUAGGUGAAGCCAGAGGAAACUCUGGUGGAGGCUCGUAGCGAUUCUGACGUGCAAAUCGAUCGUCAAAUUUGGGUAUAGGGGCGAAAGACUAAUCGAACCAUCUAGUAGCUGGUUCCCU
rnacentral:misc_RNA from 1 species